rnacentral:rRNA from 1 species
GACGAACGCUGGCGGCGUGCCUAACACAUGCAAGUCGAGCGAGCGGCGGACGGGUGAGUAAUGUAUGGGGACUGCCCGCUAGAGGGGGAUAAAUACUGGAAACGGUGGCUAAUACCGCAUACUACCGGAUAACACAUAUGGGAUUAACUAGUAGGUGGGGUAAAGGCUCACAUAGGCGACGAUCUAUAGCUGGUCUGAGAGGAUGAUCAGACACACUGGGACUGAGACACGGCCCAGACUCCUGCGGAGGCAGCAGUGGGGAAUAUUGCACAAUGGGCGCAAGCCUGAUGCAGCCAUGCCGCGUGUAUGAAGAAGGCCUUAGGGUUGUAAAGUACUUUCAGCGGGGAGGCGUUACCCGCAGAAGAAGCACCGGCUAACUCCGUGCCAGCAGCCGCGGUAAUAC